AGCAUAACUCCUAAAUAGCGCUUUCCGUAUCUCAAAGUGAAGUGUUUUAAUAUAGAAAUUAAUUCCUAAUGAUUUAUUUAUUUAUUAGUGUGUAUUUUGUGAUAUUUUUACUCUGGCAGUAGACAGCCUCUUCCGAUUUCUGACCCCUUCCGGGGCGGUACUGUUCGUUUUCGUAUUAAUUUUAUAUUGCAGUUUGAUCGACAGAACUCCUCAGCCAAUCACCGCGCUUUUCCGCUAUAUGCGCUAGGGACGACUCAAAAUGGCGUAGCUACGAGCUCGCUCGGCUGGACGCAGAGAGGCGAGAGGGGGAUACUUUUUUAAAUUUUUGUUAUUUUUUUCUCCCCUUACCUUUCCUCCCAUAUGCGAGGUGAACGCUUUCUUGCUGUGUCAAUAUCACCUCGACCUGUUUUUUCAGUGGAGAAAGUGAGCGGUGGCCCACAGAACCCGCUGGUGUCACCGUAAAAUACGAAGAAGUGGUCAGCCAUUGUUAAGCUUCCUAACAUCUCUGCAGCAUCCUCAUCACCAGGAGCAGUCCAAGGAUGGAUGCGCUGGGAAACGCACGUGAUCCACACCGGAGGAACUUUACUUGGACCACCGUGUUCCUGAACAACCACGUUAAGCCUCAGCGGGAAUGAAGAAGAAGAAGAAGAAGAAGAAGAAGAAUCUUCCAUGAAGGACCCGAUGGGGGUCCACACUCCCCCAACCGUCGACAUCCUCUUGGGAAUACGCCUGUCCAGGUUUGGGACGUGUCAAGAUGUGGAGCUAAAACACCAAGUUACACACAUUCUACAACAACAUAAUGUGAUUAUAAUUGAUUAAUUAAAUAUUGAUUACGGCAGUUCCACCAGCUGACAUCGAUCCGGUACAUUGGAAUUAGGCGUCAGCGAUGACGGAAAUAAUAUACAUGCCUACGUUUUAGUAAACGACACGGCCCACUUUGUGAGCCCCUGACAACUCGGGUGGGCUAACUCCACUUAUGUCAGUUUUAAAGUGAAGUUCAGAUGUGAAGAGAGAAAAGAAACCUCUUUCAGAUUAAUACUGGUCUGAGUCCACAAAACAAAAAAAUGUUUUUUUUUUUUGCUACCUCAGAGCCAACAUGAGAAGAAUGAGCGGGAGAUCAUAAGGCCUAUUUGGUAGCAGGUUCAGUUGAUUUUGAUAUAUGGAUAUGUAUUUAUACAUACUGUACAUACAUAUAUAAAUGUAUGUUUCUUUAUUUUUAAAACAUGAUUUUGUGUGGGCGAGGCAUCUGUUGUGAGGGAAAUCAUGUGAGUUCUUUUUUUCUUUAUCCCUUAAAACGUCCUUUCAUGAGGUCCUUAUGCUUAUUUUUAAUUUGAUUGUGAAUUAAAUAGAAUCUUUCCAAAUAAGGGCACAAAAAAAGGAUCCCCAAUGUGAAGGCUUCAAAAUAUGUCCUCGCUUGAAACAAAAUAAUCCUCUGCUCCUGCUUUCAUUGGCUUAAAAUAUGUAAUGAUAUAAUAUCAAAUAUUAUAUAAAAUAUAUAUGAUGAUGAAUGAAGCACAUUUUAAUUUGUUAUACAGAUUUUGGUAAAAUAAAAAAAAUAAUACAAGUGUCAUUCACACCAAAUUUUGGUGUAAUAUUUUGUUGUAUUUAUUAUGCUAAUUUUAAAAUGCAUAUUGGUUGUCUUGUACUCAUUUGAGUACUAUAAAUGGAAAAAUAAAAUGUGGUCAUUAUACAAAAGUAAAAUCACUUCAUCGUAAACAAAUCAUUAAGAAUGAAAAGCACAUUUUGCCUGAUUUAUUUUAUCUAUUAUACUAAUUUUAUAAACUCAUUUGUUGUAUUUAUAUAUGUUAAUUUUACUCUAAAUUGAAAUGUGCUUUUAUUUGUAUUACUUUUAACCAAUUAUAAUAUUCAUAUAGUAAAAAAAAAAGUAAUUUUGUAUUGUACUAAUUUUAGUGUCAUUAAAAAAAGAUUGUGUUCUAAUUUUAGCAUAAAUUCAAAUGUUUGUUUUGCAUUCAUUUAAAUCAAUUAAAAAAUGUUUCAAUAAACGAAAUCAUUUGCUUUUAUUUGUUUUAUCAUAUUGAUAUUAGGUUAAUAAAUGAAAGCAAAAUGUGAGUAUAGAUAAAAAUAAAAAUGUGUUUUAUGUACUCAUGGUACUCAUUUUAGUAGCAGAAAUACAAUCAAAUAUCUAGAAUUGUCCUUGAUUUCCACACUUUGUGUAAAACAAACGACUCUGAUUGAGCGGGCAGUGUGCAAUAUUGCAUCAAAACCUGUCACCUUGUUGACCGAUGCCGUGUAUUAUAUGAUAUUAUUUAAAAAAAAAAAAAAAAGAACAAGUGACACGUUGUUUGAAAAGCAACAAAAUCACCAAUGUCUUCCAUUCAAGAGUUGUAUAGUCUCAUCAUCUUCUUACGCAUUUAGAUGCUCAUACUUAACUUCAUAUAUACUCAUCAUAUAAUGCAUGAUGCCUGCUUGAGCACAGCACACUUGGAUGAAUAAUCUCCCUUUAAAAAAAAAUAUACAAAAGUAACAGUUUUGGAUGCAUGAUUAAACAAUGUUUUUUUUUUUUUUUAAUUAAUGCACUCAAGCAACAAAUAAUUCAAAUGGUAGUGAUGUUUAAUCAAACUGAUGGGAUUUUAAAUGGUUUUGAUUGGAUUUUCCAGCCCUUUAGUGACAUUGUGUUGUACAUACGAUAAAUGUAAUCCAGAAAAUUGUACAGGAUUAUUUAGAAUUUAGCAGCAAUAAAUGCAUGAUUUGAGGGUCUCGGGCGAGGGUAAAUGUUCAAAUGCCUCCUGCAGCGUUCUGUUUUCAUAUUUUAUUCUGUCAGGCAUAUAACCCUCCUGUUUCGUUAAGUUUCUCAGGAACAGCAACAAUGUUCGGGUCAAUUUGACCCGGUGCGGCAGUGUCAGAAAAAGGAAAAUAUCCCAGUAAACAUUGGUUUUAUAUUGUUUCCGAAAAACUACUUUAAUCUCCUUAUUUAUUUAUUUAAAAUAUUAUUUCUGUAAAUUGCAGAUGGGUCAAUUUGACCCGCUUCCUCAAGAAUCUACUGUCCAGCCUACUUACUGAUACAAAAUCUUUCAGAAAAGGAAAGAAAAAAAAAACAUCCCAAUAAACAAUGUCAUUGUAAGACAUUUCAUACACAUUUUAAUUUCUUUAACAUUUUUCGGGUCAGUUUGACUCUAAGUGCAAUACGUUAUCCAAAAACAUUUGGAAAUGAAAAAUCUUGAACUUUUUUUUUGUUGUUGGUCUCAAUAAACUACUUUUGACUUCUUUUCGAUGGGAAUUCUUUUACUUUUUGAAUGGGUCAAUUUGACCCGCGCUGUGUUACAUUAGCCCAGAAAAGUGUCAGAAACUGAAAAGAAAUAAAAUCUGAUAAACGCUAAGAGGUUUUCUAUCUACAAAAACAUUUUAACUUCUUUUCAAUGGUACUUAUUCAACAUUUAAAUGGGUCAAUUUGACCCACCAGGUAACAGGGGGGUUAAUUGUGUUUUGUGUAUGUGUUGGGGGGCGGGGGGGGUUCAAUACACAAGAUCUACUUAACUGUACAAUACUUGUAGCAAUUUUUUUUUUUUUUUACAUGCUUAAAAAAGUCCAAACGUGUUUUAAAAGCACUUUCUGCCUUGCACUGUCAACCACUAUCAUGUGUUGAUGUAUGUAAUUAUGCCAUUUACUACUGCUUAUUAUGACAUGGUGGAAACCAGUAGGUACCGAAAACAAAAAACAAAAAAAGAUGCAUGAUUUUUCACAGACAUGAUUGUAAUGCAUGCAAUAAUCCACAAGUUUGUCAUAUGACUACGUGUGAACGGGAAUUUGUUAAUUAUGGUAGCGAGCAUGUUGUAGCUUUUCCCAAAUGGAAAUGAUUUCUUUUGUUCACCGAGGUGUACAAACUAUGCACUCCGCAGCUAAGAGGAGGAAAACGGGCAUGCUUAUUAUUAUUCCUCAAUGGUUUUGUAUGACUUAAAAAAAAAAAAUGUAUUUCUCAAACUCAGCAAUAGUAAUGAUGAUGAUAAUAAAAUGCAGCAUGGUGCCAAUGACAA